AGGAGGGCAGGAAGGGAACCACGGGCUUCUGGCACGUUCUGGAAGGGGUGGGCGUCACCACGCCCACAGGGGGGUCGUGGUCGUGCCUGGUUUCAGGGGCCUGCGUGGGAGCCCAGGUGGGGGCAAGGCACGUUUCCACGCUGUGGAGGUGACAGCACGCACCUGCAGAGGGUGUCCCCUCCCCCCAGAGUGAGGGAGUCUUUAAACCAUUUAGCUCAGUUCCUGGCCCAGCCCGCGCCCUGGGUAUAGGUGGUUGCGGUCAUUAGCGCCGCGUUAUUACGAUCGUUCCUCUGUGUCGUCAGCGCUGCCGCUGACUGAUGGGAACUUCUGGGAAGAGACUCCGCGCAUGACAAGGAUCACUGAGGAGGAGGAGAACGGGCUCUGAUGCCGCCCAGGGAAACGUGGGCUGCGGGCCGGGCUGGCGGCUCUGCGGCCGCCGAGUGCCCGCCAGAGGGCGCCCGAGCUUCUUUGGUCGCUGAGCGGCCGGGGAGGGCCCGACCGACCAGGAGGAUGGGGACACGGCUUCGCCAGUCCCCGCCCCACGCGCGCUUCCCUGUCCCCUGGAGGGGGCGCCCCUGCAGGAACAAGCUUGCCUGCCUCGGUCGACCGCUCACCUGCUUCCUGCCUCGUGGAUUUGCCUGUUCUGGGCCCCUCGUGGAAGUGGAGUCCUACAGUAUGGGCUCGGUGCCUCGCAUCUUUCACUUGGCGUGAUAUUUCAAGGCUCAUCCACAUUCUA